AUACUUACAUGGCAAGGGAGACCCCAUGACCUUGAAGAUGGUUUUCCCAGGGUGAGGCUUAUCCAUUGCACUCCAGAUGUGCUGACCCCUACAAUUUCCCCAAAUGUGGGAAACUUGACUCCAUAAUUUGUGACAGUGGAGGACUGUGUUCAUGAUCUCCCC